UACUAGAGUAGCACUCGCAUAUCAAUAAGCGGAGGAAAAGAAACUAACAAGGAUUCCCCUAGUAACGGCGAGUGAAGCGGGAAGAGCUCAAAUUUGAAAUCUUCAAGGGUUUACCUUUACGAAUUGUAGUUUAAAGAAGUGUUUUCUGUUGGAGUUUCGGUAAAAGUUCUUUGGAAUAGGACAUCAUAGAGGGUGAGAAUCCCGUAUUUGACCGUUACUUUCCAGCUGUGUGAUACACUUUCAAAGAGUCGGAUUGUUUGGGAAUGCAGUCCAAAAUGGGUGGUAAAUUUCAUCUAAAGCUAAAUAUUGGCGAGAGACCGAUAGCGAACAAGUACCGUGAGGGAAAGAUGAAAAGAACUUUGAAAAGAGAGUUAAACAGUACGUGAAAUUGUCAAAAGGGAAGCGUUUGACACCAGUGUUAUUUAGUUGAAAAUCAAUUCAAUAAUUUUUGAUUUUGAGUAGUAUUGACUUCAUCAGCUUGCUGCUUUCUUUUCCGAAAUUAUUGAAUGCACUUUUCAGUUAACAAGUCAACAUCAAUUUCUUUUGUUGUAAAAGGGUAAGAGGAAGGUGGCUUACGCUUCGGCGUAAGUGUUUAUAGCCUUUUACCUCUGCAAUCGGAGAGAUUGAGGACAGCAGCGUAGACUCUUCGGGGUUAGAUACACUUGUGCUAAGCUAUAGCCUUGUAUAGACAACUUGUUGACUAUGCUCAGUCAUGUAGCUUACUCGCUUGUGCUAUUUUACCUACGCUUAGGAUGUUGAAGAUAUGCGCGACACG
rnacentral:rRNA from 1 species